rnacentral:rRNA from 1 species
AUUGAACGCUGGCGGCAGGCCUAACACAUGCAAGUCGAGCGGAUGAAGGGAGCUUGCUCCUGGAUUCAGCGGCGGACGGGUGAGUAAUGCCUAGGAAUCUGCCUGGUAGUGGGGGAUAACGUCCGGAAACGGGCGCUAAUACCGCAUACGUCCUGAGGGAGAAAGUGGGGGAUCUUCGGACCUCACGCUAUCAGAUGAGCCUAGGUCGGAUUAGCUAGUUGGUGGGGUAAAGGCCUACCAAGGCGACGAUCCGUAACUGGUCUGAGAGGAUGAUCAGUCACACUGGAACUGAGACACGGUCCAGACUCCUACGGGAGGCAGCAGUGGGGAAUAUUGGACAAUGGGCGAAAGCCUGAUCCAGCCAUGCCGCGUGUGUGAAGAAGGUCUUCGGAUUGUAGAGCACUUUAAGUUGGGAGGAAGGGCAGUAAGUUAAUACCUCGCUGUUUUGACGUUACCAACAGAAUAAGCACCGGCUAACUUCGUG